ensembl:lncRNA
ACUCUUUGUCGCAGCGUGGAGCCUUUCUUUCUCCGCUUUUUAAACCUUUCACCUGAUUAACUUUUAUAAGGUUAAAGGUUAAAGUGUUUUAUAAACACUAUAACCUCAGUUUCUUACCUUACAUUUAUACUUUUAUUAGGCUACUUUAUACCGUAUGGACGCAUUUUAAUCACGGAAGAGAUACGAUAAGGUAAGGUAGGCCGACAGUUUACUACCGUUUAUAUUGUCUUUCGGUUAUGUAUAUGAUAAUGAACAACCAGCUUACUACCGUUAAUAUUGACUUUAGGUUACUAGUAUAUAAUAUUGAUCUCAUCUUGGUCUCCAGUCUACUAUGGAUGAGGAGAGAGAGGAGGGGGGUCCUACCUCUAAGACCGCUCUGUCUGGGGAACAUGGCCGCCGGAGCAAAGCUAAGAGCCCAGAGCAGCAGCAGAGAGCAGACUCCCCUGGACCCAGCUGUGUCUCCAUGAAGAGUGACCACUCUAUGGAACGUCUUCUUAACUUUAAAGAUGGAAAUCAGUCUAUUGAGAAGAGAAGAGUCCAGCAGGAGAAAGCAGACUCCCCUGGACCCAGCUGUGUCUCCAUGAAGAGUGACUGGUCU